CACGCCCCCACCAGAGGCCCCUCCCCAGGAUCCUGGCCUCGGCCGCCACGCUUUAACCAGGAGCGCCAGCUGUGUACCCAACCGCAGGCUGGCCCCUUUAUCCGCUCACGUGGUCUCUCCACGGCCCUGAGAGCUGUGACAACAUCGGACCCAUUUCACAGAUGAUAAACUGAGGCAAGGGAGCCAAGAUGCCUGGUCCAGAGUCUCCAGACAGGUCGCCUCCCUGCCUCCCCAUCACCCAGCGACUUCAAAGCCGACGGAGGAGGACCCAGGCUCAGCGGACUCAGGGGACUUGCCACCUAAUGCUGCCACACUCCCGAGCAGGGGCCCUCCGCUUCGGGCCUCCCUGGUGGGCUGACUCGUGAUUUCAGAGUCCUGACUCGCUUUAGGCCUCCGAGCUCAGCCCUGAGUGACUCCAGAAAUUCCAAAUAAAAACCAGCCAGGCAAUCAAUCUAUACGUCUUUGAAGGCGUGCCACCUCCAAGGACAGAUCAGAAGGCCAGCCCUCGACACUCGGGGUGCUGGUGACAUUGUCACCUGGACAACCCUCCGGAAGCCGGUUGAUCUGGUGACUUUGAAAAGGCCAUGACCUUUGACCUGGCCUUUCCACUACCAGGAAUCUGUGAUGAGGGGCAUUCAGGCACUGGGUCACAGGGCCGUCCACUGGAGGGGUGUUGACAAUAGAGAAAAUAGGAAAACGACCCAAAUGGUCAGCAGGAGGUGAGCAGCUAGGUGAGUGAGGACGAGAGAGCUGGCCCGUCCACAUGGCCCUCAACUCAGCUCCCGGGGCCCAGCGAAGGGGCCGACGCACACAUGCCAGAACGCUACGUGAAACAAGCCAAACAAGACGCCACGUGAUCGCUGGACAACUGGCUAAACUGCAUUACGGACAGCGAACUGGACGACAGGAUCGUCUCCAAGCUGAAUCUGCUGAAUUUGAUAACUCUCCUGUGGUUAAGAGAAUGUUCUUGUUCUCCAAGGCUGAAAUGUUAGGGAGUAAAGGAGCGUAAUGUCUGCAAUUUACUCUCAAAUGAUGCAGAAAAACUAGUCUGCAUAUUGAAAGAGCUAAAGAUAAAGCAAACGUAGAAAAAUACUUAGAGGGGGUAAAUCUGGCAAGGCAGCCAGCUUCCAAAUGGGCCCCCAGCAAUCCCCACCUCCUCAGGGUCCGUCUCCUCCCACGGGGUACCAGGGCUGGUCUCGCUGACCAAUAGGAUUUGGCGGAAGUGAUCAUAUGCUAAUUUUGAGAUUAGGUUAUGAAACAGACUGCGGCCUCCAGCCUGGGCACUCUCCCGUUCUCUUUCCAUUGGAUCGUUGCCUCUGGGGGAAGCCAACUGUGGAGCCUGUCAGGAGUCCCCCCUUUGAAGAAGCCCAUGUAGGGAGAAGCUGAGGCACCCCGCCAACAGACCACCUGCCUGAGCCAUCUUGAAAGUGCAUCCUCCAGCCCAGUCAAGCCUUCUGAUGACCACGGCCCUCGCUGACAUCUUGACCAUCAGCACAUGAGAGAACGUGAACCAGAACCCUCCAGCCAAACCACUUCCAGGUUCCUGAUCCUUAGACACUGUGUGAGAUAUGGAAACUGAGGCACAGAGAGGUAAGCCACUUGCCUAAGGUCGCACAGCCUCUAAGUGGCAGAGUCGGGGUCCCAGAGUCCCUGUUCCUAGCUACCACCCCCCAACCACUCUCCCGGACUGGUUUUCAAACCACACCUGACGCCCCGACAGCAAGACAGUAAUUAAGGAAAAUACACAGCCGGUCAGGUGGUGUAAGUGCUAUGGAGAAACGGCAGGGAAGACAAGACGGCAGGGGAGGCCCGGGCUGAGCGAGGGAGCGGGCUCCACUUUGAGAGGAAGUGGCUGGGGAGGGUUGGAGGGAGUCAGUGGCCUGACAAACUGUCCCGUUUGCCUGGGACUGUCUCUGUUUUUUCUUUUUUGGUUUUUUUUUUGAGGAAGAUCAGCCCUGAGCUAACAUCUGCUGCCAAUUCUCCUCUUUUUGCUGAGGAAGACUGGCCCUGAGCUAACAUCCGU
ensembl:lncRNA